rnacentral:rRNA from 1 species
GCUUGUCUCAAAGAUUAAGCCAUGCAUGUCUAAGUAUAAGCCUUUAUAUGGUGAGACUGCGAAUGGCUCAUUAAAUCAGAAACUGUUUAUUUGAUAGUGCCUACUACAUGGAUACCUGUAGUAAUUCUAGAGCUAAUACAUGCAAAAAAACCCAGACUUACGAAUGGGUGCACUUAUUAGAUAAAGCCAACGCUGGGUAAAACCAGUUUCCCUUGGUGAUUCAUAAUAAUUAAGCGGAUCGCAUGGCCUUGUGCUAGCGACAGUCCACUCGAUUUUCUGCCCUAUCAUGGUUGAGAUUGUAAGAUAGAGGCUUACAAUGCCUACAACGGGUAACGGGGAAUUAGGGUUCGAUUCCGGAGAGGGAGCCUGAGAAACGGCUACCACAUCCAAGGAAGGCAGCAGG